AUUGAACGCUGGCGGCAGGCCUAACACAUGCAAGUCGAGCGGAUGAAGAGAGCUUGCUCUCUGAUUUAGCGGCGGACGGGUGAGUAAUGCCUAGGAAUCUGCCUGGUAGUGGGGGAUAACGUUCCGAAAGGAACGCUAAUACCGCAUACGUCCUACGGGAGAAAGCAGGGGACCUUCGGGCCUUGCGCUAUCAGAUGAGCCUAGGUCGGAUUAGCUAGUUGGUGAGGUAAUGGCUCACCAAGGCGACGUUCCGUAACUGGUCUGAGAGGAUGAUCAGUCACACUGGAACUGGGACACGGUCCAGACUCCUACGGGAGGCAGCAGUGGGGAAUAUUGGACAAUGGGCGAAAGCCUGAUCCAGCCAUGCCGCGUGUGUGAAGAAGGUCUUCGGAUUGUAAAGCACUUUAAGUUGGGAGGAAGGGCAGUAAGUUAAUACCUUGCUGUUUUGACGUUACCGACAGAAUAAGCACCGGCUAACUUCGUGCCAGCAGCCGCCGUAAUAC
rnacentral:rRNA from 1 species